UAGCCCUAAGUUUGUUCUCUGUACUUAAGAGUCUCUCUUAUGGCUUGCCUCCCUCUGAUGCACACCGGGUUUUGUUCUAUGUAUUUCAUAUCAGACUAUUCCAGUGGUCACAAGAGGUAGGAUUUCUUUGAAGAAAACCAAUAACCAACAGAUGGGGUCAACGUGCCCCUUUGAUCCUUUUUCUACAGCAAUGGUAUCACCUCGUGUGAACUACCCCUUACUUCGCUUUCCUUCUACAAGAAAUGUUUAGCAGCCAUCCGACCAACUGUUCAUUGAUUUGCAAACAUCUAUUCCAGAUCAACAGAGCCUGUUCCUCUCACGGGGGAAGGUGGGGGACAUCCUAGGUGUUCUCCAGUUUCCAUUAGCGAUGCCCUUGGGCAUGCAUGAAGAUAUGUUGCAGGCACCUCCGGUGGAGAGGCUCCUGCUUGUUGGGGAUGAACUGGGUGACCGGUCACUGAAUUGAUGCACCCUCUUGGAAUGCUCACCAGAUCCGUGCCCCGCAGUAGGGGCAGCUGGAGAAGGGGCUCCCACAUUUACAGAAGAGACACUUUGUUCCAAGUUCCGACUCUGGGACAGCGACAAACCCCCACAGCCAAAACACUCUGCAGCUGUGUCCUUUGGAGCAAGGAACGAGAGCUUCUCUGCUGACCUCACCUCACCCCAGAGGCGUGUCCUCUGUGUUCACCCAGGUUGGACUCAGGCAGGCGACAGACAUGUGCGGCACCAGCCACGUCCCCCCAGUGGCCCUGCCCACGGCAGCACGCCAUCCAUCACGCCACAGUCAAGACGCCAGCCAGCAGCCAGGCCGCCACGACAAGCAAAAUGAGGCGGGCACCGCUGGCUCCUGUCAAGGCCUCCCGUGCACCAGCAGCCUUCAUGUUAAUGGGAGAAGUUGACUGAGACUAUUUGACGCAGUUGCUGGAAACUAAACAGAGCAGGAGAAUGAUAAGCAAAGCUCUUAAUUAAAAGCACAUUUAUACAAGGUUCAGCCUGGCAGGAAAAUGACAAAGGCAGUUAAAAUUUUAAAAUCAAGCCAUUUUCUCUUGAGAGAUUUCUGCCGGACCCUGGUGGAUUCGGGAUGCUGGGUUUUCUCUUCCAACAGAGCCUGAACAUCUGAGCCGGGGUGAGCCAAGUGUGAGCUCCCUGGCUGUUUUCAAAUAAGUGUAACUUUUCCCCCAAAGUGAUUCCACUUUCUGGGGCCAAUGGCAAGAGCGAGGCGUGCUAGGCAUGGGCCUGGAUGUGGCCCCCUCCAGAAACACAAGGAUGGAUGUGGAAAGUACGGGGUGACUCUCUGUAGGAACAAGGGACCUUUGAUAUGCCUCCAUGAAAAUGGCUUCUUUGAGAAGACGGUCUUAAGAGCGGGUCACGGCGGCAGACGAAGUCACCAGGAAAGCCUGGGUGGAGAAAAGUGAAACAUUACAAGUUGAGAGCCGUCCUCCUCUCUUUGAAAAAAGAACUGUACGAAUCCUUUGUAAUUCCAGAAGGAAGACCUGGGGCCGAUGGGGAAACUACAGAAGGGAGGAUUUCCAAUUAACAGAAGAACUUUCCAAGGAGUAUUGCUCAAAUAGGAAACCACAGGCAGUUCAGCCUGCCUCGGGUUGUGCUGGAAGAGACCACAGCCCGUGUCUUGGUGGUACUGAGGUGGGGGGGGGGGGGCGUGUCGCACACUGGGGGCAGGACCUGGGGACUAAGUAAACACCUGCCGUGUUCUAAAAAUUCUCGGAUUCCGCAUCAUUGCGUAACACUCUGUAGAAACAUGUAUUUAUUGCUCAGAAAUUUGCAAAACAAUUGUUCUUGGACAUUUUACUGUUUAUUUGUCAAAUCCAUUUCUGAAUGAGAAUCCAUUUGGUAAGGCAAAGGCAUUUGAACGCUCUCUGCUGGUCUAAGAACUUCAUAUUUCCUCAGUGAAUCAUUAUAAUCUGUGCACAUGGACAGAAUUCUCGCUCCUGGCGCCAAAAAGUACAAUCAACCAAGGGAGAGUGUUUCUUAAAUAAAAGUGGUGUUUCUAGUUGGCAAAA